rnacentral:rRNA from 1 species
CGCGCAGGCGGCAGAUCAAGUCAGGCGUGAAAGCCCCGGGCUCAACCUGGGAAUGGCGCUUGGGACUGGUUUGCUAGAGUUCGGGAGAGGAGCGUGGAAUUCCCAGUGUAGAGGUGAAAUUCGUAGAUAUUGGGAAGAACACCGGUGGCGAAGGCGGCGCUCUGGACCGAGACUGACGCUGAGGCGCGAAAGCGUGGGGAGCAAACA